rnacentral:rRNA from 1 species
UGGGGAAUAUUGCACAAUGGGCGAAAGCCUGAUGCAGCAACGCCGCGUGCGGGAUGACGGCCUUCGGGUUGUAAACCGCUUUCAGCAGGGACGAAGGUUUUCUGACGGUACCUGCAGAAGAAGCACCGGCUAACUACGUGCCAGCAGCCGCGGUGAUACGUAGGGUGCGAGCGUUGUCCGGAAUUAUUGGGCGUAAAGAGCUUGUAGGCGGUCCGUUGCGUCGGAAGUGAAAACUCAGGGCUUAACCCUGAGCCUGCUUUCGAUACGGGCGGACUUGAGGGAUGUAGGGGAGAACGGAAUUCCUGGUGGAGCGGUGGAAUGCGCAGAUAUCAGGAGGAACACCAGUGGCGAAGGCGGUUCUCUGGACAUUUCCUGACGCUGAGAAGCGAAAGCGUGGGGAGCAAACAGGCUUAGAUACCCUGGUAGUCCACGCCGUAAACGGUGGGCACUAGGUGUGGGACCCAUUCCACGGGUUCCGU